AUACGGAGGAUGCGAGCGUUAUCCGGAUUUAUUGGGUUUAAAGGGUGCGUAGGCUGUGCGUUAAGUCAGGGGUGAAAUGCCGUCGCUCAACGACGGAGCUGCCCUUGAUACUGGCGUGCUGGAGUACGGAUGCCGUUGGAGGAAUGAGUGGUGUAGCGGUGAAAUGCUUAGAUAUCACUCAGAACACCGAUUGCGAAGGCAUCUGACGAAUCCGUCACUGACGCUGAGGCACGAAAGCGUGGGGAUAGAACAGGAUUAGAUACCCUGGUAUUCCACGCCGUAAACGAUGAUGACUAACCGUCGGCGAUAGACAGCCGGUGGCCAAGCGAAAGCGAUAAGUCAUCCACCUGGGGAGUGCGUCGGCAACGAUGAAACUCAAAUGA
rnacentral:rRNA from 1 species